CCUCCUCUUUUUUUAUAAUACAGAAUACAAAAAAAAUGUCUGCUCCAUUGGCCCGUCUUCUCCUCCGCCUCCAUUGUUUCUCCUCGGCUGCUCUCCAUGCCCUAGGCGGCACUCCCAUUCAUGGCCGGCGACCCGUCUUCUCCUCUGCCUCCAUUGUUCCUCCUCCGCUGCUCUCCAUGCCCUAGGCGGCGCUCCCAUUCAUGGCCGACGAGCAGAAGCUUCAGCCUCCGUCGCGCCCCGAGGUACUCCGUCGCCGCGCGCCCAGCCGGCUCCCUUUUCCUCUUUGUUCUCCGCUGCAGGUCACCGGCCAUCCGUGCUGCAACCCAAUCUCUUCUCAAUCCCGCCCCUGUCAAAUCUUUAAAUCUCCUCUUAUUUCAACUUUUCAUAUCCAGGACCGUAGUGAUGAUCUCAGAUGGUUGAUGCAUCAUAUGAGGAGGUGUAGUACGCAUGAUGUUUUCAAGAAAGGAGGCCCCGGUUGGUACUUGAGGCCGUCAAGUUGAGGAAUUACGUUGGACUGGUGGCACCACAACUUACAAUCGAAGCCCUACUCGAAUCCGUCUCCCGUUAUUCCUGCCCCACUCCACUGGUAAAUCACCCUGCAUUGUUAAAUCCGUACUCCUCCAUCCGUUUAAUUCAUAUAACCCAUAACAAGUCGGCUUAAUCCAUCACAUCUCAUCAACAACAACAGGCCUUUUUUUCUAUCUAUCUUCAUCACUUCUCUACGUCAGAUUAUACAUUUGGGUGAGUGGGUGAGAACCAGCUAGAAUGUGAUCUCGCCUAAAGUGGCACCAUGCAGCAAGUUUCUGUUAAACUACAUCCACAUCAACUGUCAACCAGCCAAUUUACAUUAACUGUUUACACAGGAAGCUUUACACAUGUCUUCCCGUGCGACCAUUUGUUAGACAACAAAAAUAGUUGACGAUUCCUAUGGAAUGAACUUCGACGUUGUAUGUUAUUUCUCCCGAGUAAACGCUAAUUGUUAGAUUAUCGCAUGGUAGUGGUAUAUAUAUAUCUAUUAAUUCUCUCUUCUGGGAUUACAAAAGGCUAAGUUGACAUUUUAAGUUUUACAAACUUCCUAGAUUUCUCAAAAUGAUUUCCAAUAAUGUGUAUGAUCUAUCUUUGGCAGAUCUGCAGUAAGAUUUUCAAAUUGUUGCCCAUGCAAAAUUAAGCUAGAUGUAUGGCGUACUUGAGUUAUAUAAAUUCUAUUUACAGCACAUACACGUACUGUUUUUGAAAAGGGAUCCAAAUCUAUGUUUUUAUUAUUAUUAAACACCCAUAUGAAAUUUCCCUGCAAAUGUAACCAUGGAAUCCAUAUUUCCUAGGUUCGUUCGUGAUAAUAUGCUAUUUCUUUUGGAGUUCCAGUGUUUAGAUUUUAGAGAUGCUAACUUAUACAAAAAUAUGUAUCAGUGUGCCCUAUUAGUGAUUUGCAUAUUUAGAGCGGGGAGGUAUAUACAUUGAUAAUGAUCCGAAUAUUGUCAGCUAAAUAUGUUUUUACGAAACUAACAGAUUUAUGUGUUCCAUUGUGCGCAGCACAAUGUUUAGUGUACAUGCGUGACACUAUAUCUACUUUUCCAAAUAGUACUCUAGACUAGGAACUGUAAAAACAAUAUGUGAGAAAACUUAAUCACUACCAUACUAUUUUUAAGUAGGUUGCAAAUAGGAUAUAUAGUCCUUAUAUGACUUUAACUACCUCCAAUUCACGUCAUUGAUCACAUUGUAACUGUUCCUGCUGCUGCAGGUUCGACUUCAAUUUUUGCUUCUGUACGUAUAGUGUUGGUUCGCUUCUCCAUAGCUUUCUACCUCCCGGAAUCCAUCUUCCUAUUGCCACAUAAUUACAUCAUUUGUUUUUGGGAAAUCAAUGUAUAGAUACAUUGUUUCCCUCUGCAGUGCACAUGCUCUUAUAUUUGUUUUUGGACUGAUUCUUCGAUUGAUUUCAUGCUAUGAUUGGAUAACUAGAUUAUCUAAUUUGAAAUUCUCCAGUCUUUUGUAUGUUCACUUGCAUAGACGGCUUAAUCAGUUAAUCUAGAACCUAAACUGAAGACAAAAUAGAGCACAUAUACUUGGUCAUUUCUCCUAAGAAGAUUAAUCCACCUUGACUUUAACUUGACUUCCAAAGAAGUUCUGAAUGAUCAAGCAUUUUUUUGGUUUUUAGUAAACUAAAAUAAUGUUGCACUCUGACAAUAAUAUUCUGAUUUUCUAAGUUAACAGAAAUCUUUCAAUUUCAUACCAGUUUUUUUAAUCGUGCAUUUGAAUGAUGGCGAUAUUAUCUAUUCUCUGAAUUCCGCUUGCAUGUUUCGAGUUGAAACAGUAACUGAAAUUGAUAAGUAUGCAACGAUUUAUGUCCUCCAGCAUGAGUAAAAUGUUGUGGGUUACCAUUUCAGAUAAGUAACCACUUUUAUUUUCUUUGUCUAUAAUUGACAUGUAUACAUGUUGUCGCUCUGCUUGAACCAUCCAUCUCCACAUUACGCCCGAGACUUCCAUCGCAAUAAUCUAUAUGUAUCCAGGUAGUGUCCAAUAUGUAUACACAAGCUCCUCUCACAGGCCGACUUUGCUGAUUGUGACUGAGCGUGUGUGUGUGGCCGUGAUGUAAGCUUUAUCUUGGCCUGAGUAUCAGUUCCCUUUUAUGAUACAAUUUUUGGAUGCUAUUUUAUUCUACAUGUAUAGGUUUCUACAGGUCCCAUUGGCUGCUACCUUUUAGUGAUACGACAGCUGAAUGGCAUGCUCACCAGUAGUUCUGUCAAAAUGAAAUCGACUGGACUGCAUUUUUUAUGUGUGUUACUAAGUACAAGCUGUGAUUAUUUUCUUUCUAGGGAUAGAAAAUUUCUAGGCAUUAAGCUUUUUGAGACGUUAAGGUCUCUCAUAAUUAAUUAGCCCUUGUAAGGUGUAUACUGACAGUAAGCCCAUUGCAGUAAUUGGUUGGAUAAUUCUUUGAUAUGUUUUAUUCAAAUGUCUGCUUAAAUUAGUGUCAGAUUCCCCCUUCAUCGAUUACUUUUUUGGAUAUGAAUUAUUACCAUAAGAAGUGCUCCCUCUGUAAAGAAAUAUAACAGUGUUUAGAUUACUACUUUAGUUAUCUAAACGCUCUUAUAUUUCUUUAUGGAGGGAGUAUAUUGGUUCUUCAGUGUUUCAUUCUGACAGUACACAAAUUAUAUUGUUUUACGUUGGUCAUUUCUCACUCUGCAGUCUGUAUCUUUUGCUUCAUAAUUCAUCUGUACACAAGAUUGAUGCCCAGAAGUUUCAGCCUUCCGUGCUAAAUGCCAUUCUUUUUUGACUUGAUAAACACCAGGUAACAUGGAGUCUUCUCAUUUGUAAUGGCAUAGAUAUAGGAACGAGCAAUUCAACUUUUCUUUAAGAAAGCGACACACAAAAGAGAACUAGAUAUUGUUGUUGAGAGCUAGCUCUGGUCACAUGAUCAUCUAUGUAUAUAGUUUUCAACAAAAGAGAACUGGAUUAUUGUUACUGAGGGCUAGCUCUGGCCGCAUGGUCAUCCAUGUAUAUAGUUUUCAACAAUAAAUGUGUCCUGAUUGGUACAGCAUAAUUUGCAAUCUUAGUUUCUUCUGAUCUCAUAAUUUGAA